rnacentral:rRNA from 1 species
AACGAACGCUGGCGGCAUGCCUAACACAUGUAAGUCGAACGAGACCUUCGGGUCUAGUGGCGCACGGGUGCGUAACGCGUGGGAACCUGCCCUUAGGUUCGGAAUAACUCCCCGAAAGGGGUGCUAAUACCGGAUAAUGUCUUCGGACCAAGGAUUUAUCGCCUUUGGAUGGGCCCGCGUUGGAUUAGCUAGUUGGUAGGGUAAAAGCCUACCAAGGCGACGAUCCAUAGCUGGUCUGAGAGGAUGAUCAGCCACACUGGGACUGAGACACGGCCCAGACUCCUACGGGAGGCAGCAGUGGGGAAUAUUGGACAAUGGGCGAAAGCCUGAUCCAGCAAUGCCGCGUGAGUGAUGAAGGCCUUAGGGUUGUAAAGCUCUUUUACCCGGGAUGAUAAUGACAGUACCGGGAGAAUAAGCUCCGGCUAACUCCGUG